AUGGAGAGGAAAUUGCAGCUAAAAGACUCGCCAGAUAUUCAGGACAGGGUUUCACAGAAUUCAAAAAUGAAGUUGAACUUAUUGCGAAAUUACAACACAAUAAUCUGGUCAAGCUCUUGGGAUGCUGCAUUCAGGGAGAGAAAAGACUUUUGGUAUUGUUGCUUUCCAUACUUCAAACCAUGCAUGUUCUCUAAUGUGCAGAUCAGAAUAGAACAACUUUGGUUGAUUGGAAUAAACGACGUGAAAGGCAUAGCCCAAGGUCUUUUGUAUCUCCACAAGCACUCUCGGCUACGCAUCAGACAUAGAGACCUUAUUAAGGCAAGCAACAUUCUCUUGGACCAGGAUAUGAAUCCUAAAAUCUCUGAUUUUGGACGAGCAAAAAAUUUCAGCUCCAAUGAUACUCAAGGAAACACAAAUAGGGUGGUGGGAACAUAUGGUUAUAUGUCUCCUGAGUAUGCCUACAAAGAGAUUUACUCAAUCAAAUCAGACGUGUUCAGCUUUGGUGUGUUACUUCUCGAGAUCCUUAGUGGAAAAAGGAAUUCUGGUUUCCACAAGUCUGAAGAUUUUAUCAACCUCCUUGGAUAUUCGUGGCAGCUCUGGGAAUGUGGAAGAUAUCUUGAGCUUCUAGAAGCAUCAAUUGUGGAAAUUCAUCCAGCAGAGGCGAGAAGGUUCAUUCACAUUGUACUGAUGUGCGUACAAGAGAAUGCAGAUGAUCGACUAACCACGUCAAAUGCCGUUGCAAUGUUAAACAACGAGAAUGUUAUUCUUCCAGAUCCUAAUCAUCCAGCAUACUUCAGUCUAAGAGUACCUAAUAUACAUGAAUCGGCCACUGCUGUUGUGCCAUGUAGUAAUAAUGAUGUAACCAUUACUGAGCAGCCAGAUGGAAGAUAA
rnacentral:rRNA from 1 species